rnacentral:rRNA from 1 species
UACAGAGGGUGCGAGCGUUAAUCGGAAUUACUGGGCGUAAAGCGUGCGUAGACGGCUAUCUAAGUCGGGUGUGAAAGCCCCGGGCUCAACCUGGGAAUUGCAUUCGAGACUGAAUAGCUAGGGUACGGUAGAGGGAAGCGGAAUUUCCGGUGUAGCGGUGAAAUGCGUAGAUAUCGGAAGGAAUACCAGUGGCGAAGGCGGCCUUCUGGACGGAUACUGACGCUGAGGCGCGAAAGCCAGGGGAGCAAACGGG